rnacentral:rRNA from 1 species
CUACGGGACGCUCCAGUCAAGUAUCUUUUACAAUGCACGAAAGUGUGAUAGAGCGAGCCAGAGUGUUUCCCCUUGGGAAACUUUUUUCUGAUGCAAAAAGUCAGAAGAAUAAGGACUGGGCAAGACCGGUGCCAGCCGCCGCGGUAAUACCGGCGGUCCAAGUCGCAUCCACUUUUAUUGGGUCUAAAACAUCCGUAGCUUGCCUUGCAAGUCUCUUGUGAAAUCCUAUAUCUUAAAUAUAGGGCGUGCAAGAGGUACUGCAAGGCUUUGAGACCGGAAGACGCAAGGAGUACGGCUAAGGUAGCGGUAAAAUGUGUUAAUCUUGGUUGGACUAACAAUUAGCGAAGGCACCUUGCGAGUACGGAUCUGACAGUGAGGGAUGAAGGCUAGGGGCGCAAAAGGGAUUAGAUACCCUUGUAGUC